UGAGGAAAACGUCGGAAUCUGCCUAUUUGUGGGGGAUAACGUAGGGAAACUUACGCUAAUACCGCAUACGACCUACGGGUGAAAGUGGGGGACCGCAAGGCCUCACGCAGAUAGAUGAGCCGACGUCGGAUUAGCUAGUUGGCGGGGUAAAGGCCCACCAAGGCGGCGAUCCGUAGCUGGUCUGAGAGGAUGAUCAGCCACACUGGAACUGAGACACGGUCCAGACUCCUACGGGAGGCAGCAGUGGGGAAUAUUGGACAAUGGGCGCAAGCCUGAUCCAGCCAUGCCGCGUGUGUGAAGAAGGCCUUCGGGUUGUAAAGCACUUUUGUCCGGAAAGAAAAGCUUAGGGUUAAUAACCUUGAGUCAUGACGGUACCGGAAGAAUAAGCACCGGCUAACUUCGUGCCAGCAGCCGCGGUAAUACGAAGGGUGCAAGCGUUACUCGGAAUUACUGGGCGUAAAGCGUGCGUAGGUGGUUUGUUAAGUCUGAUGUGAAAGCCCUGGG
rnacentral:rRNA from 1 species